rnacentral:rRNA from 1 species
UACGUAGGGUGCGAGCGUUAAUCGGAAUUACUGGGCGUAAAGCGUGCGCAGGCGGCUUUGCAAGACAGAUGUGAAAUCCCCGGGCUCAACCUGGGAACUGCAUUUGUGACUGCAAGGCUAGAGUACGGCAGAGGGGGAAGGAAUUCCGCGUGUAGCAGUGAAAUGCGUAGAUAUGCGGAGGAACACCAAUGGCGAAGGCAAUCCCCUGGGCCUGUACUGACGCUCAUGCACGAAAGCGUGGGGAGCAAACAGG